rnacentral:tRNA from 1 species
GAGGUGUUAGCUUAAUUAAAGCAUUUGAGUUGCAAUCAGAAGAUGUAAGUUAAAGUUUUACAUGCCUUAAA